UUUUUUUUAUUUAUUUUUUAUUUUUUUUACCUAAAGCUCUAGUUUAAUGCUAUUUUAUGUUGUUCUGUAGAGUAGGAAUAAAAUUUGAAUUAGACCCAUGACACUGGUAGAAAUUCAUAUAGCGUUUUGUACAUGAUAAAAUAAAUCUCUGUGGAGUAAAUCAUUAUCCAUUCUUUCCCUCUUUUACACUGCUCAUGCUAUUGAGAAAAAGGAAAGAGCACGAAAAUCUAGUGAAAGUGUUCAAGAAAGUCUAAGAAUAUGCAGAUCAUGCUUUUCCUUUCCCAAGGAGGAUGAACACUGUUCAAGAGCACUAAGAUUUGAAGGGUAUCAGAUGAGACUUUGACAAAUGAAAAUGCCACAACAGCUGAGGGAAUUUUACUAUCUAUUUCCCUAUCCCUGUUUGAGGUUGCUCACAGAAGCUCAGACUGAGGAGUCUGAGACAGAAACACAGACUGUCUAACUUGAGGCACCAUGCCAUUCCACAGAAACACCAAACCUGUAAGAUACUUCUGCACGUUCUGCAGAUUUUGAGCACUGAUGGAGCUCUGUCUGCAUACCUCCAUAUCCCAGCUCUUCAGCAAGACACUUCAAACUACCUGGCUAGCAGGUCCAUCAUGAGCCAACUGAGCCACACACAAUAAUGGAAGCUUGUUUCGUUGCAAAAGAAUGUAAUGAGAUCAUUUUAUAUGUGGAGUAGACACAGAUACAUUUUGUUUUUGUCAGUCUUACUUUACACUCCCCUUUGUCAAUCUGAAUACAUGCCCUUGUCUUCAGAAGACCUCAUGGUACCUGUAUUAUGAUUGAUACUGGUACUCAUAUCUGUACUGCAUUUCAGACUCCCCAGGGCACUGCCUACCGAUAGAAGUACAGAAGAGGUUCUCAAAAGUAACCUCAUUACUUUAACCAGGACUUCAGGAGAAGGAGAAAGAAGCAAGAAGAGGAACAAUUGACACAACGUUGACAUGGGCUCUUUCAUAUCCCAGUGAUCAUAGAAUACUGCUGUAGCCUUCAGAACAAUCAUAAAAACUGUUCUUUAAAAAUACUUCACUUUAAAAAUAAAUUGGUGCUCUUCAGUGAAUCUUUUAAAGCUUGACAGGACAAAGUACACUACAGAGAACAACACUAGAGGAGGGAUAUGAGCAAUAUAACCUAAUGGACGAGAUCAUUAAUUCUGUAAUUUCUAUUCUCUGUGAUACAGUUGCCUGCCUGUCAAAUACCUAUUACACACUUUCUAGUGAAUGCUUCAUAUAAGAGAUGAAUGGAUUUUUCAUAGCAGACAUAGAUAUAACACAAGCCUUUAAUGAAACAGAGGGGUUACAACCGCUAAGAAAAUGUCAGUGUCUUUGCUACUGGGAUCCAGUUAAUUUGUACAGAUAUGUGUGUAAGGACAGCAUACCUAGAUGAGCUCUAGAAUAUCAUGAUGAUGGAUUCCUACUUGUAAGACUUGUAGACAGACAGGCAGCUAUAUGCUAUACCUGCUAUGAGUAGUAAGAUUCUAGAUCCAAACGUUCUUCCAAUUGUCUGUCAAGCCUUUUAAAGUAGACAAAGGUAUAUGAAACAAUAUUCAUUAUCAUAUAUAUCUAUAAUCAAGAUGAAUUACAGAACACAAAUGAGGCUGGUUAAACAUUUCACUUUAAUUCUUUUUCUAGAAAAAUGAAAUGAACAAUUUAUCUCAUAACCUCUUUGGCUGUAGUUAUCAGGAGCACUAAUCACAUCCCUGUGGGAUUAGAGAGAACUGGCUGUUUCUCCUUGCCUCAUAAGACCCCAGAGGUGUGAUUAUUUCAUGGUUACCACACCCCUGUUGUGUCUCACUGCUUCAGUGAAAUAAAUGAACUGUUAAAUUGAGAGUUACGAAUGAAGUUCCUGCUGGCCAACUGACUGUAUGGCAUUUGGGGGAAAAAAAAAAAAA
ensembl:lncRNA